AUACGAAGGGGGCAAGCGUUGUUCGGAAUAACUGGGCGUAAAGCGCACGUAGGCGGAAUGUUAAGUUAGAGGUGAAAUCCCAGGGCUCAACCCUGGAACUGCCUUUAAUACUGGCAAUCUAGAGACCGAGAGAGGUGAGUGGAAUUCCGAGUGUAGAGGUGAAAUUCGUAGAUAUUCGGAGGAACACAAGUGGCGAAGGCGGCUCACUGGCUCGGUACUGACGCUGAGGUGCGAAAGCGUGGGGAGCAAACAGGAUUAGAUACCCUAGUAGUCC
rnacentral:rRNA from 1 species